rnacentral:lncRNA from 1 species
AGGAGAGGACCUGAGGGAGAUUUGCCCAUGGUCCGAUGGGGUGCGGUGGCACAAUCGAUGGUCCGAUAAUGGUGAUCGAUAGUGGUGGAGCCAGAGAUGUCUGACGAGAAAUUAUGAGAAAAAUCAUUUGAAAAAUAGGACAUCCUUUUCUUCUCGAUUUUUGAUAAAGUUGACAGUGAGGUUUGGAGUUAGAGGAGAAAGGGAAGAG